rnacentral:lncRNA from 1 species
CUAUGAGGGCAAUGGUAACAACUGUACAGAAAUCAAUGCAUGUCAAACAAAUCCUUGUGAUGUAAAUGCAAAUUGUACCAAUAUCGAUGGUUCAUACAAUUGUACUUGUCACAUGGGCUAUGAAGGCAAUGGUUAUAACUGUACAGAUAUCAAUGAAUGUCAAACCAAUCCUUGUGGUGUAAAUGCAA